rnacentral:lncRNA from 1 species
GAGUAUAUACUGCCUCUUACUGCUAUUUAAAUGUUUCAGAUUUUUUUAUCGAUGAGAUACAAAAUGCCUGCCAAACAAGAACAGGGUAAGUUUUAUAUAUUGCAGUAUCCCAGUGCCACCAGGAUGCUGGGCACACUCUAGAUGUUCAGUAAGAAUUCAAUGCAUAUUUUCCCACUAGUGAUAUGAUCAAAUGGGGAUAUACAGAUAGACAAUCACAUAAUAAUAAUAGUAACGACGACAAUAGCUACCAUAUUUGAACAUUCACUAUAGAUCAGGUACCAGGCUAAGCACUUUCUGUGUAUUAUCUAAUUUACAUUUAUCAACAACUCUGCGAAGUAGUUUCUAUUUAUCCCCACCUUACAGAUAGGGAAAUUGAGCCUUCACCCAAAUUAGGACAUUUGACCACUAAACAGAUUCCAGAGAUGUGUGUGUAUGUAUUUUAAAUAGUUGGUUACAGGCCCGAGUAGUACUUCCCAUACAGAUUCCUAGAAUACUAGCCCUGAAAAGGACUUCAGAGCUCAUCUAGUCCAACCGCCUUGUCUUAUAGAUGAAGGAAACAAAUGCCAGGGAUGUGAAAUGACUUGCCCAAGGUUAUGCAGCUAGUAAGAAGCAGAGGUGGGACUAGAACUGAGUUCCUUCCUGCCAGGUUGUGUGGUUUCUACCAUUUGCAAUCCUACCAAAAAAAAAUUAUCUUUUCUCCUCCAUAGAAGUUUAACAUCUUCAGAUUCUUUAUCUAGUAGACCUGGCUCAGGUGUCUCAGGUCCAGAGGCUGUUGACACAACUCAUCUGGAGCGAGUUAGGCUUUCUUCAGCCCUCGUUUCCCUUCCGUCCUUUCUCUGCCAUCUCCCGCCUCAUCACCGCCUCCCCUGGCCUGGACUCCUGACCCCAGAUUGCAUUGCUCUCCGCCUUUGCCCUUGACCAAAGUUUCUCUGUGGCCAAGCAGAACUGUUAGAAUGCUGCUCAGGCUGCCAAGAAGCAGACGGUAACACAGACGGUGACACAGGCAGCCCAAGCAGGACAAUUGCCUUAGCUGAAACCAAAUUACC